UACGAGAGGCCCAAACAUUAUUCGGAAUUACUGGGCUUAAAGAGUUCGUAGGCGGCAUGGAAAGUAGGGUGUGAAAUCCCUCGGCUCAACCGAGGAAUUGCGCUCUAAACUGCCGUGCUAGAGGAAGCUAGAGGUGAGCGGAACUGAUGGUGGAGCGGUGAAAUGCGUUGAUAUCAUCAGGAACACCAGUGGCGCAAGCGGCCCCCAAGCCUGAACCUGACGCUGAAGCGCGACAGCGUGGGGAGCAAACGGG
rnacentral:rRNA from 1 species